rnacentral:rRNA from 1 species
AGUGAACGCUGGCGGUAGGCCUAACACAUGCAAGUCGAACGGCAGCACAGUAAGAGCUUGCUCUUACGGGUGGCGAGUGGCGGACGGGUGAGGAAUACAUCGGAAUCUACUUUUUCGUGGGGGAUAACGUAGGGAAACUUACGCUAAUACCGCAUACGACCUACGGGUGAAAGCAGGGGAUCUUCGGACCUUGCGCGAUUGAAUGAGCCGAUGUCGGAUUAGCUAGUUGGCGGGGUAAAGGCCCACCAAGGCGACGAUCCGUAGCUGGUCUGAGAGGAUGAUCGGCCACACUAGAACUGAGACACGGUCCAGACUCCUACGGGAGGCAGCAGUGGGGAAUAUUGGACAAUGGGUGCAAGCCUGAUCCAGCCAUACCGCGUGGGUGAAGAAGGCCUUCGGGUUGUAAAGCCCUUUUGUUGGGAAAGAAAAGCAGCAGGUUAAUACCCCGCUGUUCUGACGGUACCCAAAGAAUAAGCACCGGCUAACUUCGUG